ACAACCGACGCUGAAGCUCGCUCGCCAGAAGUGCGCCGUCAGCGUCGGUUGUCGACGGGCGAUAAGGUCGCAAGGAAGGUGGACCGGCCUCGUGGCUGGUUGUUAAGACUUGCGCUCGCAUAGCU